ACAGGUGCUGCAUGGCUGUCGUCAGCUCGUGUUGUGAAAUGUUGGGUUAAGUCCCGCAACGAGCGCAACCCUUAUCCUUUGUUGCCAGCGGUCCGGCCGGGAACUCAAAGGAGACUGCCAGUGAUAAACUGGAGGAAGGUGGGGAUGACGUCAAGUCAUCAUGGCCCUUACGACCAGGGCUACACACGUGCUACAAUGGCGCAUACAAAGAGAAGCGACCUCGCGAGAGCAAGCGGACCUCAUAAAGUGCGUCGUAGUCCGGAUUGGAGUCUGCAACUCGACUCCAUGAAGUCGGAAUCGCUAGUAAUCGUGGAUCAGAAUGCCACGGUGAAUACGUUCCCGGGCCUUGUACACACCGCCCGUCACACCAUGGGAGUGGGUUGCAAAAGAAGUAGGUAGCUUAACCUUCGGGAGGGCGCUUACCACUUUGUGAU
rnacentral:rRNA from 1 species